UGGGGAAUUUUGGACAAUGGGCGAAAGCCUGAUCCAGCAAUGCCGCGUGUGUGAUGAAGGCCUUCGGGUUGUAAAGCACUUUUGGCGGGAACGAAAGGGACUGUGCCAAUACCACGGUUCGAUGACGGUACCCGCAGAAUAAGCACCGGCUAACUACGUGCCAGCAGCCGCGGUAAUACGUAGGGUGCAAGCGUUAAUCGGAAUUACUGGGCGUAAAGAGUGCGCAGGCGGUUUUGCAAGACCGAUGUGAAAUCCCCGGGCUUAACCUGGGAACUGCAUUGGUGACUGCAAGGCUAGAGUGUGUCAGAGGGAGGUGGAAUUCCGCAUGUAGCAGUGAAAUGCGUAGAUAUGCGGAGGAACACCGAUGGCGAAGGCAGCCUCCUGGGAUAACACUGACGCUCAUGCACGAAAGCGUGGGGAGCAAACAGGAUUAGAUACCCUGGUAGUCCACGCCGUAAACGAUGAGUGCUAGGUGUUAGACCCUUUCCGGGGUUUAGUGCCGUAGCUAACGCAUUAAGCACUCCGCCUGGGGAGUACGACCGCAAGGUUG
rnacentral:rRNA from 1 species